CCUACGGGCGGCUGCAGUGGGGAAUAUUGGACAAUGGGGGCAACCCUGAUCCAGCCAUGCCGCGUGUGUGAAGAAGGCCCUCGGGUUGUAAAGCACUUUCAGUGAGGAAGAACGCCUGGUGGUUAAUACCCAUCAGGAAAGACAUCACUCACAGAAGAAGCACCGGCUAACUCCGUGCCAGCAGCCGCGGUAAUACGGAGGGUGCGAGCGUUAAUCGGAAUUACUGGGCGUAAAGCGCGCGUAGGUGGCUUGAUAAGCCGGUUGUGAAAGCCCCGGGCUCAACCUGGGAACGGCAUCGGAAACUGUCAAGCUAGAGUGCAGGAGAGGAAGGUAGAAUUCCCGGUGUAGCGGUGAAAUGCGUAGAGAUCGGGAGGAAUACCAGUGGCGAAGGCGGCCUUCUGGACUGAAACUGACACUGAGGUGCGAAAGCGUGGGUAGCAAACAGGAUUAGAUACCCGAGUAGUC
rnacentral:rRNA from 1 species